CCGUAACCACCACGGACUUCCGCUGAGCGCCCGUCUCCGCGAAAGUACUGACCCUGGACCCCCAGUUGCCUGGGUCCACCUGUCGAACCAAACACAAGCCUCUUUUAGGUCUCUUUCACUCAUCUGAGCAGGACUUGGCUACCCAGAAACGCCACCUAACACCCGCAGCUUCGCCCCAUCAUCUGUGACUACCUACUGUGCCCGUGAGACUGUCCAGUCUAUAGACUGCCGCUCAGAGAAGAGCUUCACUCCAAACUCCAGGAGAAACAUCAGUCAAAGAUACCGGUAUACCCGACCUUUUUAAGGGGGGAAGACAGUGCGAAUGUGAGAGGUGUUUCUUCCUCAGAGUAAGAAGCCAUCAGAAGUUAUGCUUCCACACAGCAGAGCUGUUUAAUCGUUCACACUUGGAAAAGACACCGAUACAUAGGGAAGGGACGUGUCUCCUGAUGGUCCCACUUCAGGAGCCAGCAUCCCAGCGAACUGAUACCAGCUGAUAGAGGAGGAAAAAGCCGAGAAGCCAGUUCAGAAAGGCCUGACAUCUUCUCCCUCCCGCAGGAGCCACAGACACUCACCACUAGGUUCCCCCUCCCUUCUCAGGGACCCUGCACUUAGGUGCUCACUGAAUCCCAUUCACCUCAAGGCCCUGAAGAAAACUGCCCAGCAACUCUCCCGUCUCCUCUUGACAUAAUUUUUUCACUCUCCCAGAUUAUUCCCAUUGGUUUAUAAUAGUGUUGGGGUUUUCUCCCGUCUUGCAAGGUAAACAAAACAAAACUCAUAACCUUUAUCCCCUCCAGCUACAACCUCCUCUCUUUUUACUUCACAAUAAAAC
rnacentral:lncRNA from 1 species